rnacentral:rRNA from 1 species
GAUGAACGCUGGCGGCGUGCCUAAUACAUGCAAGUAGAACGCUGAAGGAAGGAGCUUGCUCUUUCCGGAUGAGUUGCGAACGGGUGAGUAACGCGUAGGUAACCUGCCUGGUAGCGGGGGAUAACUAUUGGAAACGAUAGCUAAUACCGCAUAACAGUAGAUGUUGCAUGAUAUCUACUUAAAAGGUGCAAUUGCACCACUACCAGAUGGACCUGCGUUGUAUUAGCUAGUUGGUGAGGUAACGGCUCACCAAGGCGACGAUACAUAGCCGACCUGAGAGGGUGAUCGGCCACACUGGGACUGAGACACGGCCCAGACUCCUACGGGAGGCAGCAGUAGGGAAUCUUCGGCAAUGGACGGAAGUCUGACCGAGCAACGCCGCGUGAGUGAAGAAGGUUUUCGGAUCGUAAAGCUCGGUUGUAAGAGAAGAACGAGUGUGAGAGUGGAAAGUUCACACUGUGACGGUAUCUUACCAGAAAGGGACGGCUAACUACGUG